CCAGAGUUCAGCACACUUCGGACCCCUGCCCAUCAGCUCCGCUUGCAUAGCUUCAGCCGCUCGAAUAUCCUCAACUCGAUGGAUCCAUUCUUCUCUGGUAGGGAUAUCUGUCUUUUUCCAGUAUACUGGUACGAGUGAUUUAGCAGCGUUUAGCAGGUGCCGCAAGAUGGAUUUUUUUAUAUGUAGAUAGUGGUUGUGUGGAGACGUGGAGUAAGAUUAGCUCCACCGACCAGGUGAUGUCUCCCAAAAUCUGACGAAUGUCGGAUUUGAUCUGAUCCCAGUAUGGGCCAAUAUGCUUACAUUCCCACCAGAUAUGUAUAAGUGUCCCCCUUUCUUCCUGGCACCUCCAGCACGUUGGGGAUGUGUUAGGGAAAAUUUUGUGAAGCAAUACCGGCGUUCGGUACCACAUGGAGAGUAGUUUGUAGUUAACUUCUUGGUAGCAGGAGCUAGAGGAGCUUUUGUGUUGCCAUAUCAACGCCUUGUCCCAUUGUGUAGGGGUGAACGUGGUGUCCAGUGCCCGCUCCCAUUGACGUUGGAAAGUGUUGUUCUCCGAGGUAGGGCCAGACAGCAGGUGUUGGUAGAG